UUUAAGUGCAGUCGUGGGUUUUCGUGUCCAAUAUUUGACCGUCCGUCUUAUUUAAAAAUUUUUUAAAAAAUAAGUCACGCAUAAAGUACUAUUCAUGUUUUAUCAUCUAAUAACAACAAAAAUACUAAUCUAGAAAAAUUCAAAUAAGAUAGACGGUCAAAUGUUAGACAUAGAAACC
rnacentral:pre_miRNA from 1 species